AAACCAACCGGGAUUGCCUUAGUAACGGCGAGUGAAGCGGCAAAAGCUCAAAUUUGAAAUCUGGUACCUUCGGUGCCCGAGUUGUAAUUUGGAGAGGGCAACUUUGGGGCCGUUCCUUGUCUAUGUUCCUUGGAACAGGACGUCAUAGAGGGUGAGAAUCCCGUGUGGCGAGGAGUGCGGUUCUUUGUAAAGUGCCUUCGAAGAGUCGAGUUGUUUGGGAAUGCAGCUCUAAGUGGGUGGUAAAUUCCAUCUAAAGCUAAAUAUUGGCGAGAGACCGAUAGCGAACAAGUACAGUGAUGGAAAGAUGAAAAGAACUUUGAAAAGAGAGUGAAAAAGUACGUGAAAUUGUUGAAAGGGAAGGGCAUUUGAUCAGACAUGGUGUUUUUGCAUGCACUCGCCUCUCGUGGGCUUGGGCCUCUCAAAAAUUUCACUGGGCCAACAUCAGUUCUGGCAGCAGGAUAAAUCAUUAAGAAUGUAGCUACCUCGGUAGUGUUAUAGCUUA
rnacentral:rRNA from 1 species